GCCUGGGUGGCUCAGUCGGUUAAGCGUCCGACUUCGGCUCAGGUCAUGAUCUCACGAUUUGUGGGUUCGAGCCCCAUGUCAGGCU
rnacentral:tRNA from 1 species